UGGGGAAUAUUGCACAAUGGGCGCAAGCCUGAUGCAGCCAUGCCGCGUGUAUGAAGAAGGCCUUCGGGUUGUAAAGUACUUUCAGCGGGGAGGAAGGUGCUGAGGUUAAUAACCUCAGCAAUUGACGUUACCCGCAGAAGAAGCACCGGCUAACUCCGUGCCAGCAGCCGCGGUAAUACGGAGGAUGCAAGCGUUAAUCGGAAUUACUGGGCGUAAAGCGCACGCAGGCGGUCUGUCAAGUCGGAUGUGAAAUCCCCGGGCUCAACCUGGGAACUGCAUUCGAAACUGGCAGGCUAGAGCCUUGUAGAGGGGGGUAGAAUUCCAGGUGUAGCGGUGAAAUGCGUAGAGAUCUGGAGGAAUACCGGUGGCGAAGGCGGCCCCCUGGACAAAGACUGACGCUCAGGUGCGAAAGCGUGGGGAGCAAACAGG
rnacentral:rRNA from 1 species